CGCCCCGCCAGGUCUGUCCUCCGCCGUGUCGCCCGGCCCUGGACAGCGACCCGGCCCUCGCGGGGCCGGGGGAGGCUCCGCGGGAGCAGGGGGGGCGGGCCGCGGGCGGGGGACACCUGCUCCCAGGGGGGAGCCAGCGCCCAGCCUCCUGGCCCUGCUGGCUGGGUGGGUGCCGCGUCGACUGGUCCGCGCCGUCCCCCCUUGCACCAGGUGGUGACAUCGGUUUCGGAGACAUCAGGGCCCUCGAGACCUGUCCGCAGGGGAGAGCAGGAUCGGUCUCCUUCCCUUUCCCCCGUUCUCUCUUCUCCGCUUCGGGUGCGAGGCGCCGGACCUCAAAACGGGCAGCCGCUCGGUUGAGGUCGUAGCGCCAUCGGGGUCGGUGGACGGCGCCCGAUGCCUGCAGGUGUAUUGAAUUCAUCAUGUGAUGAUGUGAGAGGCUUUUGGAUUUUUUCGAGUAACAAGCUGAGGUUGGCUCAUAGCAGGAUCCACAGUGCAAGAUGCCUGUCUCUCCCUUUGUGGUGACCAGAGAUCCAAACCUCAAAACCCUGUCACUCCAAGCAAAAGACGGUUUACUUUUAGAAAUAAUUGUGAACUACUUCUAAUGGACAUGGGAGCGUUGCCAGAUCUCAUGCUUUUUAUCCUGAGCCUUGCCAUUGUUGGUGCCCCCCUUAGCAUCGAAGCUCCGGGAGGCACUCGGGAGAAGCCUUUGCUUUCUGCUCAAAGGAAGUUUUUUGCCCUUCUCGUUGCAGGGAUAAAAGUUUGCAGAGAUGACUCCUGAAGGAAGAUGUGACAGGAGGCAAAUAAAAUGGAUUGUUUUGAAAAA